rnacentral:rRNA from 1 species
ACUCCUACGGGAGGCAGCAGUGGGGAAUAUUGCACAAUGGGGGAAACCCUGAUGCAGCCAUGCCGCGUGUGUGAAGAAGGCCUUCGGGUUGUAAAGCACUUUCAGUAGGGAGGAAGGUAGUGUAGUUAACACCUGCAUUAUUUGUACGUUACCUACAGAAGAAGCACCGGCUAACUCCGUGCCAGCAGCCGCGGUAAUACGGAGGGUGCGAGCGUUAAUCGGAAUUACUGGGCGUAAAGCGCAUGCAGGCGGCCUGUUAAGUCAGAUGUGAAAGCCCGGGGCUUAACCUCGGAAUUGCAUUUGAAACUGGCAGGCUAGAGUCUUGUAGAGGGGUUAGAA